rnacentral:rRNA from 1 species
GCAGCCGCCGCGGUAAUACGGAGGGUGCAAGCGUUAAUCGGAAUUACUGGGCGUAAAGCGCACGCAGGCGGUCUGACAAGUCAGAUGUGAAAUCCCCGGGCUUAACCUGGGAACUGCAUUUGAAACUGUCAGGCUGGAGUCUUGUAGAGGGGGGUGGAAUUCCAGGUGUAGCGGUGAAAUGCGUAGAGAUCUGGAGGAAUACCGGUGGCGAAGGCGGCCCCCUGGACAAAGACUGACGCUCAGGUGCGAAAGCGUGGGGAGCAAACAGGAUUAGAUACCCGCGUAGUCCCUGUCUCUUAUAC